CUCCUUUUUAGAGAAAAACGACUCUCAAAACAUAUACGUUGGUUUUAUUGGGCUGCUGCAUCAUUCUUCUUUUUCCGUCCUUGUCUAGUCCUGUAGCUCAGUUGGUUAGAGCACUACACUGAUAAUGUAGGGGUCAGCAGUUCAAAUCUGCUCAGGACUACGGUAAAGAUGGGGGAUUAGCUCAGCUGGCUAGAGCGCCUGCCUUGCACGCAGGAGGUCAUCGGUUCGACUCCGAUAUUCUCCACUAAAAAAGAAGUUCUUUGACGUACUGGUAGAAGAUAGAGUAAAUUAUAAGCAACAAAGGGCAGUUGGCGGAUGCCUAGGCUCUCAAUAGCGAUGAAGGACGUGAUAAGCUGCGAUAAGCCAUACUGAGAUGCAAAUAAUCGUUUAAGUAUGGAUUUCCGAAUGGGG
rnacentral:misc_RNA from 1 species